UACGUAGGGGGCAAGCGUUGUCCGGAUUCACUGGGCGUAAAGCGCGUGUAGGCGGCUCGUCAAGUCGGGUGUGAAAGCCCGGGGCUCAACCCCGGGAUGCCGCUCGAAACUGGCGCGCUUGAGGACGGAAGAGGGGAGUGGAAUUCCUGGUGUAGCGGUGAAAUGCGUAGAGAUCAGGAGGAACACCCGUGGCGAAGGCGGCUCCCUGGUCCGUCCCUGACGCUGAGACGCGAAAGCGCGGGGAGCGAACGGG
rnacentral:rRNA from 1 species